UGGCUGAGUGGCAAAGCGCUUGGCUUCCGAACCGGGAGUCCCGGGUUCGAAUCCUGG
rfam:Biomphalaria glabrata isolate BB02 unplaced genomic scaffold LGTN_random_Scaffold12762, whole genome shotgun sequence.